ensembl:snRNA U6 U6 spliceosomal RNA
GUGCUUGCUUCAGCAGCACAUAUGCUAAAAUUGGAAUGGUACAGAGAAGAUUAGCAUGGCUCCUGCACAAGGAUGACACAUAAAUUUGUGAAGUGUUCCAUAUUUUU